CCGGCGACCGGCGGACGGGUGCGUAACGCGUAUGUAACCUACCUUUGACAGGGGGAUAACAUCGAGAAAUUGGUACUAAUACCCCAUAACAUCACCGGAGGCAUCUUCGGUGGUUGAAAACUCAGGUGGUCAGAGAUGGACAUGCGUUGUAUUAGCUAGUUGGUGAGGUAACGGCUCACCAAGGCGACGAUACAUAGGGGGACUGAGAGGUCCAACCCCCCACAUUGGUACUGAGACACGGACCAAACUCCUACGGGAGGCAGCAG
rnacentral:rRNA from 1 species